GCCGACGUGGCGGAAUGGUAGACGCUGCGGACUUAAAAUCCGCUGAGCCUUCGCUCGUGCGGGUUCGAGUCCCGCCGUCGGUA
rnacentral:tRNA from 1 species